AUUGAACGCUGGCGGCAUGCCUUACACAUGCAAGUCGAACGGCAGCACGGGGCAACCUGGUGGCGAGUGGCGAACGGGUGAGUAAUGCAUCGGAACGUGCCAUUGAGUGGGGGAUAACGUAGCGAAAGUUGCGCUAAUACCGCAUAUUCUGUGAGCAGGAAAGCAGGGGACCGCAAGGCCUUGCGCUCUUUGAGCGGCCGAUGUCAGAUUAGCUAGUUGGUGAGGUAACGGCUUACCAAGGCGACGAUCUGUAGCGGGUCUGAGAGGAUGAUCCGCCACACUGGAACUGAGACACGGUCCAGACUCCUACGGGAGGCAGCAGUAGGGAAUAUUGGACAAUGGGGGCAACCCUGAUCCAGCCAUGCCGCGUGAGUGAAGAAGGCCCUCGGGUUGUAAAGCUCUUUUGUCCGGAAAGAAAAGCAAUCGGUUAAUACCCGGUUGUCCUGACGGUACCGGAAGAAUAAGCACCGGCUAACUUCGUGCCAGC
rnacentral:rRNA from 1 species